AGAACGAACGCUGGCGGCAGGCUUAACACAUGCAAGUCGAACGCGUGUAGCAAUACACGAGUGGCGCACGGGUGAGUAACGCGUGGGAACCUGCCCAUUAGUACGGAAUAACCGCGGGAAACUGCGGCUAAUACCGUAUACGCCCUACGGGGGAAAGAUUUAUCGCUAAUGGAUGGGCCCGCGUCGGAUUAGCUAGUUGGUGAGGUAACGGCUCACCAAGGCUACGAUCCGUAGCUGGUCUGAGAGGAUGACCAGCCACACUGGGACUGAGACACGGCCCAGACUCCUACGGGAGGCAGCAGUGGGGAAUAUGGACAAUGGGCGAAAGCCUGAUCCAGCCAUGCCGCGUGAGUGAUGAAGGCCCUAGGGUUGUAAAGCUCUUUCAACGGUGAAGAUAAUGACGGUAACCGUAGAAGAGCCCGGCUAACUUCGCGCCAGCAGCCGC
rnacentral:rRNA from 1 species